UACGGAAGGUCCAGGCGUUAUCCGGAUUUAUUGGGUUUAAAGAGAGCGUAGGCCGACUGCUAAGAGUGUUGUGAAAAAUACCGACUCAACCGGUAUCCUGCAUCGCGAACUGGCUGCCUUGAGUGUGCGCGACGUUGGUGUAAUUCGUCGUGUAGCGGAGAAAUGCUUACAUAUGACUAAGAACUCCGAUUGCGAAGGCAGCUGACGGGAGCACAACUGACGCUGAAGCUCGAAAGUGCGGGUAUCGAACAGGAUUAGAUACCCUGGUAGUCCGCAUGGUAAACGAUGGAUGCCCGCUGUUUGUCCUGAUGGACAAGCGGCCAAGCGAAAGCGUUAAGCAUCCCACCUGGGGAGUACGCCGGCAACGGUGAAACUCAAAGGAAUUGACGGGGGCCCGCACAAGCGGAGGAACAUGUGGUUUAAUUCGAUGAUACGCGAGGAACCUUACCCGGGCUUGAAUUGCAGAGGAAGGAUUUGGAGACAAUGACGCCCUUCGGGGUCUCUGUGAAGGUGCUGCAUGGUUGUCGUCAGCUCGUGCCGUGAGGUGUCGGCUUAAGUGCCAUAACGAGCGCAACCCCUCUCUUCAGUUGCCAUCAGGUAGAGCUGGGCACUCUGGAGACACUGCCACCGUAAGGUGUGAGGAAGGCGGGGAUGACGUCAAAUCAGCACGGCCCUUACGUCCGGGGCUACACACGUGUUACAAUGGGGGGUACAGAAAGUCGGUUUCACGCAAGCGAGACCAAAUCCUCAAAGCCCUCCUCAGUUCGGACUGGGGUGUGCAACCCGACCCCACGAAGCUGGAUUCGCUAGUAAUCGCGCAUCAGCCAUGGCGCGGUGAAUACGUUUCCGGGCCU
rnacentral:rRNA from 1 species